GGAGAUGGAGGCAUCUUCCACGUGGCGGAGACUACAGCUCCCGGCGUACAUCGCGCGGGGCAGCGCGUGGCACGCCGGGAGUUGUAGUCUCCGCUUCGGGAAGCGGACGCUGAGGGUGCGCGGCCGGAGGAUGGAGGAGCUCGUUCUCCCUGGUGGCCUCAGUUGGGUGCCUGUCAUCAUCCUCUUUGUCCCCGUCACCGUCAGAGCCAGUCUCAUCCGAGUUGUCCUCCAGGUAUGUCCCCACCGCCACCACCAACGUCAGCAGCAUGAUGGACAGCUUGGCCUGCGGCCCAUGGAGUUUUGGGAUUGGCGUGGGGGUGUGUCCCCAAAAAGCCUGGAAUGUCUCAGAGUGGGCUG